rnacentral:tRNA from 1 species
GCUUACCGGACAGCCUAGUGGACAUGGCAUCUGCCCGGUAAGCGGAACAUUGUGGGUUCGAUUCCCAUCCCUGGACA